GACGAACGCUGGCGGCGUGCUUAACACAUGCAAGUCGAACGGAAAGGCCCUGCUUUUGUGGGGUGCUCGAGUGGCGAACGGGUGAGUAACACGUGAGUAACCUGCCCUUGACUUUGGGAUAACUUCAGGAAACUGGGGCUAAUACCGGAUAGGAGCUCCUGCUGCAUGGUGGGGGUUGGAAAGUUUCGGCGGUUGGGGAUGGACUCGCGGCUUAUCAGCUUGUUGGUGGGGUAGUGGCUUACCAAGGCUUUGACGGGUAGCCGGCCUGAGAGGGUGACCGGCCACAUUGGGACUGAGAUAGGGCCGAGUCUCCUACGGGAGGCAGCAGUGGGGAAUAUUGCACAAUGGGCGGAAGCGUGAUGCAGCAACGCCGCGUGCGGGAUGACGGCCUUCGGGUUGUAAACCGCUUUCGCCUGAGACGAAGCGUGAGUGACGGUAAUGGGUAAAGAAGCACCGGCUAACUACG
rnacentral:rRNA from 1 species